AUUGAACGCUGGCGGCGGGCCUAACACAUGCAAGUCGAACGGUAACAGGAAGCAGCUUGCUGCUUUGCUGACGAGUGGCGGACGGGUGAGUAAUGUCUGGGAAACUGCCUGAUGGAGGGGGAUAACUACUGGAAACGGUAGCUAAUACCGCAUAACGUCGCAAGACCAAAGAGGGGGACCUUCGGGCCUCUUGCCAUCGGAUGUGCCCAGAUGGGAUUAGCUAGUAGGUGGGGUAAAGGCUCACCUAGGCGACGAUCCCUAGCUGGUCUGAGAGGAUGACCAGCCACACUGGAACUGAGACACGGUCCAGACUCCUACGGGAGGCAGCAGUGGGGAAUAUUGCACAAUGGGCGCAAGCCUGAUGCAGCCAUGCCGCGUGUAUGAAGAAGGCCUUCGGGUUGUAAAGUACUUUCAGCGGGGAGGAAGGGAGUAAAGUUAAUACCUUUGCUCAUUGACGUUACCCGCAGAAGAAGCACCGGCUAACUCCGUG
rnacentral:rRNA from 1 species